GAUGAAGAACGUAGCGAAAUGCGAUAAGUAGUGUGAAUUGCAGAAUUCAGUGAAUCAUCGAAUCUUUGAACGCACAUUGCGCCCCAUGGUAUUUCGUGGGGCAUGCCUGUUCGAGCGUCAUUUACCCCCUCAAGCUCCACUUGGUGUUGGGCGUCUGUCCCGCUUCGCGCGCGGACUCGCCCCAAAGGUAUUGGCAGCGGUCGUGCCAGCUUCUCGCGCAGCACAUUGCGCUUCUCGAGGCACCGGUGGGCCCGCGUCCAUCAAGCUCACCCCCCCAGUUUGACCUCGGAUCAGGUAGGGAUACCCGCUGAACUUAAGCAUAUCAAUAAGCGGAGGA
rnacentral:misc_RNA from 1 species